UGGGCUAUGGAGUUGUUACAGAGAUGUCUCCUAUGAGUCUUAAAGCCACACCUGCCUGAUAUGGCUCUCAUCCCCUCCCAGUGGGCUGUCACCUGUGGAAAAGCUGGCUCUCCUAAGCUAAUACGGACUGCUAAGAGGUCUGCUGAGAGAAGAGCUUGAGCUCUAGGAAGGCCAGGAACUAUGACUGCAUACGUCAUCAAGCCCAGUGCCUGCCCACAGGAGGCACUUUGUUAAAAAGUUUUGAUUGAAACACAUGGUGAAUGGCCAAUGCAGAAAAUAAAUUCUGAUAAAAUUGGACUACAUUCCUUUGGCAGCUCAAUGGACACAAAUCAUUAGAUUUUCCGUUUCAAGGACAAUGGUAGACAAUGAUUUAUAAAGAUAUGAAAGGUUUUGGAAGAAAUAAGCCCCUCCUGACACUGUGAUUUCUGACUGUAGCCUCAAGUACUGAGACACAAUGAACUUCUAUUGCUCACGCCAAAUGAAUGUUCUGACUGUAUGUCAUCCCAUCGUGAAAUUAGUAUGAGGAAUGCGUAGAUGGAGCUGAGUUCAUCAAUGGAGCUGCCAAGGAAAGAGACUUCUGCUCCCAUGUAGGAUGUUUUUCUGCCUUAACUGAUUUCAGGCUUCACCUCUGGCCUGUCAGCUCAGUGGUCUAGGUAGAAGCAGGUAAGU